rnacentral:rRNA from 1 species
GUGGGGAAUUUUGGACAAUGGGCGCAAGCCUGAUCCAGCAAUGCCGCGUGCAGGAAGAAGGCCUUCGGGUUGUAAACUGCUUUUGUACGGAACGAAACGGUCCGGGUUAAUACCCUGGGCUAAUGACGGUACCGUAAGAAUAAGCACCGGCUAACUACGUGCCAGCAGCCGCGGUAAUACGUAGGGUGCAAGCGUUAAUCGGAAUUACUGGGCGUAAAGCGUGCGCAGGCGGUUUUGUAAGGCAGGCGUGAAAUCCCCGGGCUCAACCUGGGAAUUGCGCUUGUGACUGCAAGGCUGGAGUGCGGCAGAGGGGGAUGGAAUUCCGCGUGUAGCAGUGAAAUGCGUAGAUAUGCGGAGGAACACCGAUGGCGAAGGCAAUCCCCUGGGCCUGCACUGACGCUCAUGCACGAAAGCGUGGGGAGCAAACAGGAUUAGAAACCCGUGUAGUCC